rnacentral:rRNA from 1 species
GAAAGAUUAAGCCAUGCAUGUCUAAGAAUAAGGGCAUUGAGCCCGAAUCUGCGAACGGCUCAUUAAACAAGUUAUAAUUUAUUUGAUAGUGGUUUUGCACAUGGAUAACUGUGCUAACUGUAGAGCUAAUACAUGCAUCCAAUUCCCGCAAGGGAAUGCAUUUAUUAGAUACUAACCAACCAGGCAACGGAGUGGAGGAAUCAUAAUAACUGAGCGAAUCGCUCCUCGGAGCGAUGCAUCAUUCAAAUUUCUUCCCUAUCAGCUUUUGACGGUAGUGUAGUGGACUACCGUGGCGGUAACGGGUAACGGAGAAUUAGGGUUCGAUUCCGGAGAGGGAGCCUUAAAAAUGGCUACCACAACUAAGGUUGGCAGCAGGCGCGCAACUUACUGACUCUCGAUUCGAGGAAGUAGUGACAAUAAAUAACGCCGCGAGGCAUUCGCUUUGCGGUGGAAUGAGAACAAUUUAAAUCCCUUAUCAAAAGCAACUGGAGGGCAAGUCUGGUGCCAGCAGCCGCGGUAAUUCCAGCUCCAGUAGCGUAUAUUAAAGUUGUUGCAGUUAAAAAGCUCGUAGUUGGAUUUUGGAAGGGCGCCGUGGGUCCGUCCCUUCGGGGAUGUGUACCCAACGGUGGGUGUGAAAGCACCUCAAUGCCCGUCCUUUAGGUCGGAGCCUUCCCGUGGCACAUGCGUUCACUCGUGUGUGUUGCGGGGUCAAAGGGCGCCGGCCGCGUCACUGUGAGUAAAUCAGAGUGUUCAAAGCAGGCAGGAUGCCUGAAUGUAUUAGCAUGUAAUGACAACGAACG